CGGGGCGUAGCUCAGCCUGGCUAGAGCGCUACGUUCGGGACGUAGAGGCCGCACGUUCGAAUCGUGUCGCCCCGA
rnacentral:tRNA from 1 species